UGUAGAUAGAGGCGCGGUAUCCAUCAGUAGCUUUUCCGUAUUGUCAGGCAGCUUUGGAAAGUGAAAGGGGCCACCGCCGAAGCCCGCGGAGAAUGCCUGUUCUCCCACGGCUGGGUCGGCAGAGAAUAUCUGACGGACUGUCACAUAGUUUUGUGAAGCGCUAUC
rnacentral:ncRNA from 1 species